UGGAUAAGGAUGAAGCAACUGUAACAUAAUCCAACACUUGAUCUGAGACUUUUAACAGUCGAGUGAUGUUAAAGAUAAGCUUCUGAAUCUUC